AACGAACGCUGGCGGCGUGGAUAAGACAUGCAAGUCGAACGGGACAGACCGAGUAGCAAUAUUUGGAAUGUUCAGUGGCGAACGGGUGCGUAACACGUGGAUAACAUUCCGGAAAGCGGGGAAUAGCCCAGGGAAACUUGGAUUAAUACCGCAUGUGGCCGCAAGGCUAAAGACGGGGACCGCAAGGCCUGUCACUUUCCGAUUGGUCCGCGGCCUAUCAGCUAGUUGGCGGGGUAAUGGCCCACCAAGGCUACGACGGGUAGCUGGUCUUAGAGGACGACACGCCACACUGGAGCUGAGACACGGUCCAGACACCUACGGGUGGCAGCAGUCGAGAAUCUUUCACAAUGGGGGCAACCCUGAUGGAGCGACGCCACGUGGAGGAUAAGGUCUUCGGAUUGUAAACUCCUGUCAUGCGAGAACAAGGUACUCAGGCUAAUAACCUGAUUGUUUGAUGGUACCGCAAGAGGAAGAGACGGCUAACUCUGUGCCAGCCGCCGCCGUAAAAC
rnacentral:rRNA from 1 species